rnacentral:rRNA from 1 species
GUACCUGCGGAGGGAUCAUUACCGAGUUUACAAACUCCCAAACCCUUUGUGAACCUUACCUAUCGUUGCUUCGGCGGGAUCGCCCCGGCGCCUUCGGGCCCGGAACCAGGCGCCCGCCGGAGGCCCCAAACUCUUAUGUCUUUAGUGGUUUUCUCCUCUGAGUGACACAUAAACAAAUAAAUAAAAACUUUCAACAACGGAUCUCUUGGUUCUGGCAUCGAUGAAGAACGCAGCGAAAUGCGAUAAGUAAUGUGAAUUGCAGAAUUCAGUGAAUCAUCGAAUCUUUGAACGCACAUUGCGCCCGCCAGUAUUCUGGCGGGCAUGCCUGUUCGAGCGUCAUUUCAACCCUCAGGCCCCCAGUGCCUGGCGUUGGGGAUCGGCGUGGGCGGCGACGGCUCUCCGGAGCCCGAGCCAAUGCCUGCCGGCCCCGAAAUUCAGUGGCGGUCUCGCUGUAGUCCCCCUCUGCGUAGUAGCACAACUCGCAUUGGAGCUCGGCGGUGGCCAUGCCGUAAAACACCCCACUUCUGAAAGUUGACCUCGGAUCAGGUAGGAAUACCCGCUGAACUUAAGCAUAUCAAUAAGGCGGAGGAA